rnacentral:rRNA from 1 species
UACGAAGGGGGCUAGCGUUGCUCGGAAUCACUGGGCGUAAAGGGUGCGUAGGCGGGUUUUUAAGUCAGGGGUGAAAUCCUGGAGCUCAACCCCGAAACUGCACUUGAUACUGCCUGGCUGGAGUACUGGAGAGGAGAUUGGAAUUUACGGUGUAGCAGUGAAAUGCGUAGAUAUCGUAAGGAAGACCAGUGGCGAAGGCGGGUCUCUGGACAGUUCCUGACGCUGAGGCACGAAGGUCAGGGGAGCAAACGGG